rnacentral:rRNA from 1 species
GAUGAACGCUAGCGGGAGGCCUAACACAUGCAAGCCGAGCGGUAGAGUCUCUUCGGAGACUUGAGAGCGGCGCACGGGUGCGGAACACGUGUGCAACCUGCCUUUAUCUGGGGGAUAGCCUUUCGAAAGGAAGAUUAAUACCCCAUAAUAUACUGGAUGGCAUCAUCUGGUAUUGAAAACUCCGGUGGAUAGAGAUGGGCACGCGCAAGAUUAGAUAGUUGGUGAGGUAACGGCUCACCAAGUAAGCGAUCUUUAGGGGGCCUGAGAGGGUGAUCCCCCACACUGAGACUGAGAAAAGGACCAGACUGCUACGGGAGGCAGCAGUAAGGAAUACAGGACAAUGGGUGAGAGCCUGAUCCAGCCAUCCCGCGUGAAGGACGACGGCCCUAUGGGUUGUAAACUUCUUUUGUAUAGGGAUAAACCUAGAUACGUGUAUCUAGCUGAAGGUACUAUACGAAUAAGCACCGGCUAACUCCGUG